UAUGGACCAAUGAGAGCACAAAGAACAAAGAAACUGCUAGAACUUUGACCAUAUAUGGUUAACAGGUGGUUGGACGGCCAAUGGGCCAACAGGGGGCAUGGCUCUGGGGUUGAUUGACAGCAUGUCCCGGGGCGGAGAGGUUAAAGGCCCCUCGCAGGCCCACAGGCCUCCACGGAAGUGCAGCAUUGCUCCUUUGGAAUGCAGAGAGCGCCGUUCAAGCCCUGCCCCUGAAAGGACUCGAAACGCGGCUGGUGUGGGCUUAGUGGUUUCAAGCCGUGCUCCCAAAGCCCCCAGGAAUCCCCAGGAUAAGCAGAGGAAGGGCUUUGCUCCAGCCACAGGGCCUGAGGUGCUCCAACAGCACCAUCCCCAUGAGCUUGGACAGCUCACAGCUCUACAAAACAAACCCAAAACUCACCUGCUCAUGUUUUCUGUGACAGUCUCAGCAGGCUCUGAGGGGAAAUUUCUCACUGGGCAGAACAAAAAGUGGAGGAAAAAGGCUCCUGGAAGACAGAAGUAACCAUAUCAAACUAAGAAAGGAACACAGCUUGAAAUACUGACAAUAUUUCUCUGGUCAACAACCCUGACUUUACACAAGUGGA